CGUAAUUUUGGGGGGGGACGGGUGGGACAUGUCCCCCCCACUUUUUCAAAAGGCAGUUUCGGUCCCCUUCACUUUUUUCCGUCAAAAAACAAUGUUACGCUCCAUUAAAUGGAUUUGGUUGAGCACUAGGACCGAAACGGAAACCGGUUUCCUAUUAGACCCACCCAAAAGCUAAUCUAUUGGCUCUGCUGAUACUUGCUAACGUAUUAUUGGCUGUUGCUGCUGUCACUCCAAGUAGUAAACAGAACGUGCUCACGUUGUUUUGCUAGUUUGGAGCCGCUAGGGAACACCGGUACUGAGUCACAUCGUCAACUAGACGCUGUGUAAUAUCAGAGCUCAGCUCAGCUUCCAUUACACAACAUUUGAAUAAGUGUUCAUUUGUGAGUGUUUGGUAGUUAUGCACAGCCAGGCGGCAGCAUGUCAAGAAACAAAAGUGGAUAUAAGAGACUUCUUUCAAAGUCAAAACGUGACCGACAGAGAUGCAGGAGGAGAGACCGGUGAAGGUACAGCAGGAGAGGCUGUAGGAGAUGGAGGACGAGAGCCUGGAGGAGAUGGAGCAGAGGCUGGAGGCUCACAG